rnacentral:rRNA from 1 species
GACAGAGGGUGCAAACGUUGUUCGGAAUUACUGGGCGUAAAGCGCGUGUAGGCGGCUGCGCAAGUCGGAUGUGAAAUCCCAUGGCUCAACCAUGGAAGUGCACCCGAAACUGCGUAGCUAGAGUCUCGGAGAGGAAGGCGGAAUGCUUGGUGUAGAGGUGAAAUUCGUAGAUAUCAAGCGGAACACCGGUGGCGAAGGCGGCUCACUGGCCCGGUACUGACGCUGAGGUGCGAAAGCGUGGGGAGCAAACAGG